GUGGGUAACCUGCCUUAUAGUGGGGGAUAGCCUUUCGAAAGGAAGAUUAAUACCGCAUAAGAUUGUAGUAUCGCAUGAUAUAGCAAUUAAAGGAGCAAUUCGCUAUAAGAUGGACCCGCGUCGCAUUAGCUAGUUGGUGAGGUAAUGGCUCACCAAGGCGACGAUGCGUAGCCGACCUGAGAGGGUGAUCGGCCACAUUGGGACUGAGACACGGCCAGACUCCUACGGGAGGCAGCAUG
rnacentral:rRNA from 1 species